AUUCCGGUUGAUCCUGCCGGAGGCCAUUGCUAUCGGAGUCCGAUUUAGCCAUGCUAGUCGCACGAGUUCAGACUCGUGGCAUAUAGCUCAGUAACACGUGGCCAAACUACCCUACAGACCGCAAUAACCUCGGGAAACUGAGGCCAAUAGCGGAUAUAACUCUCAGGCUGGAGUGCCGAGAGUUAGAAACGUUCCGGCGCUGUAGGAUGUGGCUGCGGCCGAUUAGGUAGAUGGUGGGGUAACGGCCCACCAUGCCGAUAAUCGGUACAGGUUGUGAGAGCAAGAGCCUGGAGACGGUAUCUGAGACAAGAUACCGGGCCCUACGGGGCGCAGCAGGCGCGAAACCUUUACACUGCACGACAGUGCGAUAGGGGGAAACUCCGAGUGUGAGGGCAUAUAGCCCUCGCUUUUCUGUACCGUGGUGGUACAGGAACAAGGACUGGGCAAGACCGGUGCCAGCCGCCGCGGUAAUACCGGCAGUCCAAGUGAUGGCCGAUAUUAUUGGGCCUAAAGCGUCCGUAGCUUGCUGUGUAAGUCCAUUGGGAAAUCGACCAGCUCAACUGGUCGGCGUCCGGUGGAAACUACACAGCUUGGGGCCGAGAGACUCAACGGGUACGUACCGGGGUAGGAUGAAAUCCUGUAAUCCUGGACGGACCACCAAUGGGGAAACCACGUUGAGAGGCCGGACCCGACAGUGAGGGACGAAAGCCAGGGUCUCGAACCGGAUUAGAUACCCGGGUAGUCCUGGCUGUAAACAAUGCUCGCUAGGUAUGUCACGCGCCAUGAGCACGUGAUGUGCCGUAGUGAAGACGAUAAGCGAGCCGCCUGGGAAGUACGUCCGCAAGGAUGAAACUUAAAGGAAUUGGCGGGGGAGCACCACAACCGGAGGAGCACUGCGGUUUAAUUGGACCAACGCCGGACAUCUCACCGGUCCCGACAGUAGUAAUGACAGUCAGGUUGACGACUUUACUCGACGCUACUGAGAGGAGGUGCAUGGCC
rnacentral:rRNA from 1 species